CCUAAGAGGAGGCUCAGCCCCCGCCCUCCACCACAUACCAAGACAACAACAUUUGGGGAAAGGCCCCAGGGAUGGCUGAGGAGGAAGAGCUCAUGGGACAGAGGGUUGUUGCGAGGAUUAAAUGUGAUGGCAUAUACAAAAAGAUGCUCCAUACACUAGCAAGUGCGAGGUGAUCCCAGAUACAGCAAGGAGAAUGACAACAGAGGAUGAGGCCCCUGAGACCAGACAGACAAGAGGCAGCCCAAGAGAGGGAGUUAUUUAUAGAGCGAGUGGCAGCCACUGAUGGAGAGGGAUGGCUGGUUACCUUGGAGAGCAACUGAGCCAGGAAGGGGGAGCUGGAGAAAUGUACUCGUCCUGCUGGAUGUCUAGCAUGAUCUCCAGUCCAUUGCCCGUCCCACCCU